GUGGGGAAUCUUGCGCAAUGGGCGAAAGCCUGACGCAGCCAUGCCGCGUGAAUGAUGAAGGUCUUAGGAUUGUAAAAUUCUUUCACCGGGGACGAUAAUGACGGUACCCGGAGAAGAAGCCCCGGCUAACUUCGUGCCAGCAGCCGCGGUAAUACGAAGGGGGCUAGCGUUGCUCGGAAUUACUGGGCGUAAAGGGCGCGUAGGCGGACAGUUUAGUCAGAGGUGAAAGCCCAGGGCUCAACCUUGGAAUUGCCUUUGAUACUGGCUGUCUUGAGUUUGGGAGAGGUGAGUGGAACUCAGAGUGUAGAGGUGAAAUUCGUAGAUAUUCGGAAGAACACCAGUGGCGAAGGCGACUCACUGGCCCAAUACUGACGCUGAGGCGCGAAAGCGUGGGGAGCAAACAGGAUUAGAAACCCCGGUAGUCC
rnacentral:rRNA from 1 species